GGUGUAGGCGGUGAAGUAAGUCGGAUGUGAAAGCCCAGGGCCCAACCCUGGAACUGCAUUCGAAACUGCUUCACUAGAGUCCCGGAGGGGAAGGCGGAAUUCCCGGUGUAGAGGUGAAAUUCGUAGAUAUCGGGAGGAACACCAGUGGCGAAGGCGGCCUUCUGGACGGUGACUGACGCUCAGACCCGAAAGCGUGGGGAGCAAACAGGAUUAGAUACCCUGGUAGUCC
rnacentral:rRNA from 1 species